GGAAAAGCGCUGUCGUCCCCGGCCGCGGCGGCCGCGCAGGCAGCGCCCCAGAGGAGCCAGAGCCUCAGGACGGGGCGCCAGGCUGAGCUCACGGCCAUCUCUCCGCUGCCAUCCAGCAGGGCGCUGCGUGGGGCUCGGCGGCUGUGCGUCCUCGUCGGUGCCCCCGUGGGGCGGCGGUGCCUCGCGUGCAUUACCUUCUCGGCCCCCGCCUUGUCCGGAUGUGGGAAGUCAAGGCGGCCCGACGCGCAACUUAGUGAAAAAGGCACAGCGAGAGGGGUCAUGGAAUUUCCUUCUGAGGAUAGAGUUAAACACCAAAAAGGGUCACAGCCAUCAUGAGGAACAGACACCGUCUCUCUGAAGGCGCAUCAGAUCUGCCAGAGUAAAAGACCAAGGUUCUGUAAAAAAUUCUGAUUAACCUGCCCAGAGUCCUUCAUGUUGGACCCAGAAUGGUGGACCUCGUCUGCAUUGUACUUGCCUGAGAGAAUCAGCUGGGCACAAGUUUUCCUUUUUUCCCAGAAUGCAAUGGGGCAUGUGCGUCCUAACACCAAUCUUGAAAAUAGCAUUAGCUUCCAAAGCCAUAAUAGACUGGCAUUCUCAGCUUUUGGCUCUAAGCUAGAGACAAAGUACGCUAUCCAUUUCUUGUGAACUCUCAUAUUGGAAGGUUUUCUCAGCUACGGUAGUUCACAAAGGAAUGCCACCAGCUUAGCUUUACUACAAGAAGUCCCAGGAACACCUGUUCCAGGUCAGCUUCUCACCUGGUUAGUCCACAUCGAUUAUCAUCGCAUGGAAUUGGUUCAAUCAGGAAAAAAUGGCAUCAAGGGAAGCUCCAGGAACAAACUGGAAAUCAGGACAUGUUUGGAUGGAAGAGAAGCAAAGUGCAACCGUCCGUCUGCCUCAUUCUCUGUUUGCCCUCUUCUUCUGUCUCAGCAGAUGACCUUGCUGCCCAGACACCGUGGACAUUUAGGUCUCAGUUUACUGACCACUGGAAGGUGCGUCUUUUACUCCCCCUGGAGGAGACCAAAAACUGCCUCAGUUUCUAGGACAUCCCACAUGGAGGAGACCCAGUGAAAGCUGGCAGAAAGUGGCAGGGCCAUGGAGUGACUCCCCCCCAGCCAUCUCUGCUUCCCGGUGCAAUUUAAGGUAGAUGAAUGGUUCACUCUGGGCUCCAGGCCAAAGAACUGGCCCCGGGGGGAAAUCAUUCUCACACCCACGCUUGAUGCACAUACACCCUGCAACUCUCCUUCCUGCCCAGCAGCCCCCCAGAUGGAAUCCUUAUACUCGAGGAAGCAGUGGGUCUUUCAUUGCCGUCUCUGGGCUACAAGAAUCAAAGAGCAAAAUGGAUGUUUUCCUCUGAGAACUGGCACUGAACAGAAGGAAGGAAACGACUUCUCCAAUUCAAGCAUGUUUUAAUCUCUGGAGAAGUGGGGACUGGGGAGGGGCAGAAUUGGCUGAGGAAUCAGUGGGAAAGUCAUAAAUUUUGUCUCUUAUCCCGGUAACUAAGAUUCUUCCUUUACAGUGCCGCCCACUCCUUCUUCUUUUUUUCAAAGAGUUUGGAUAAUGAACAAUCACUUUCUAAAUUCUCAAGUUCAAAAAUCUCUCAGUGGAGGAAAAACCGGGAGGUUUUGAGUAAAUCUCCAAAGGCCGGACGGAUCCUUUAUAAACAUGCUCAGAAAU